rnacentral:rRNA from 1 species
GAUGAACGCUGGCGGCGUGCCUAAUACAUGCAAGUCGAGCGAACAGACGAGGAGCUUGCUCCUCUGACGUUAGCGGCGGACGGGUGAGUAACACGUGGAUAACCUACCUAUAAGACUGGGAUAACUUCGGGAAACCGGAGCUAAUACCGGAUAAUAUAUUGAACCGCAUGGUUCAAUAGUGAAAGACGGUUUUGCUGUCACUUAUAGAUGGAUCCGCGCCGCAUUAGCUAGUUGGUAAGGUAACGGCUUACCAAGGCAACGAUGCGUAGCCGACCUGAGAGGGUGAUCGGCCACACUGGAACUGAGACACGGUCCAGACUCCUACGGGAGGCAGCAGUGGGGAAUAUUGGACAAUGGGCGCAAGCCUGAUCCAGCCAUACCGCGUGGGUGAAGAAGGCCUUCGGGUUGUAAAGCCCUUUUGUUGGGAAAGAAAAGCAGCAGGUUAAUACCCCGCUGUUCUGACGGUACCCAAAGAAUAAGCACCGGCUAACUUCGUG